UACGAAGGGGGCUAGCGUUGCUCGAAUCACUGGGCGUAAAGCGCACGUAGGCGGCUUUUAAGUCAGGGUGAAAUCCGUGGAGCUCAACUCCAGAACAUGCCCUUUGAUCUAAUAGAGCUUGAGUUCCGGGAGAGGGUGAGUGGAACUGCGAAGUGUAGAGGUGAAAUUCGAUAGAUAUUCGCAAGAACACCAGUGGCGAAGGCGGCUCACUGGCCCGGUACUGACGCUGAGGUGCGAAAGCGUGGGGAGCAAACAGGG
rnacentral:rRNA from 1 species